rnacentral:rRNA from 1 species
ACAAGCAGCGGAGCGUGUGGUUUAAUUCGAGGCUACACGAAGAACCUUACCAGGGUUUGACAUGCAAGUGGUAGGAAUCCGAAAGGCGACCGGCCCUUCGGGGAGCUUGCACAGGUGCUGCAUGGCUGUCGUCAGCUCGUGUCGUGAGAUGUUCGGUUAAGUCCGCUAACGAGCACAACCCUCGUCGUGUGUUAUACGUGUCACACGAUACUGCCGGUAUCAAGCCGGAGGAAGGUGGGGAUGAUGUCAAGUCAGCAUGGCCUUUAUAUCCUGGGCUACACACACGCUACAAUGGCAGAUACAAUAGGUUGCGAAACCGCGAGGUGGAGCCAAUCCUCAAAGUCUGUCUCAGUUCAGAUUGUAGGCUGCAACUCGCCUGCAUGAAGUUGGAGUUGCUAGUAAACGCAGGUCAGCUAUACUGCGUUGAAUACGUUCCCGGGGUUU